AUAGUACAAAGGCUAAAAAUAUUUGGUCUGUCAGGAAGUCCGAAGACAUAGGGUAAUGAAUUUUUCAAGAUCCAGACAUUCUUCUUGAGUUUAUAGAUAGUUCUGCACUGCAGCUGGUAUAAAAGUGACAAAUCAUGAGGGCAUUCUUAGCAAUGAAAAAGUUUACCGAAUGUUAGAAGUUCUGGCCAGAGUUUAAAGAGUUCUAUGCAUCAAUAAAAGAGACAAUAGACCAAACAUCUGGGAGCUUCUGCGGGAAAAAGAAGAAUCAAGGGUUACCAAGAGCUA